rnacentral:lncRNA from 1 species
UCCCGAUAACCUAGUGAUUAGUGAAUCUAAGUUUCACAUGUUUAAGAGCUUACUAACCUGAGGUCCUUAAAGCUGCUAUAUCGGCUGAAGCUGGAAACUACUCGACCAGGUGGUGUAUGUACUCGUGCUGGAAAACGAGUUGUGCAAUCCUUCAUUGUUCUCAUCACAGGACACAAACAAAAAGAAAAGACAGUUCAGUUCAUAGAACACAAAAAAAAAAGACAGUUCAGGACACAAACCUUGGCAGUUGGCACGCAAUCUCCUUUGGCGCCAGCAACCAUCUUGGGGAAGUCGUUGAUGAACAUGAUCUCUUCUCUGUAUGUACAAACGAAGAGACAUAUCAGUACUAUCAAUGCAAACAACUGAAACAAGACGCUACACUACUCAACACAAGACAAUAAGAGAGUGACUAACCUGAUGUCCU